GGCCAGAUAGCUCAGUUGGUAGAGCAAAGGACUGAAAAUCCUUGUGUCGCCGGUUCGAUUCCGGCUCUGGCCA
rnacentral:tRNA from 1 species